AACGAACGCUGGCGGCAUGCUUAACACAUGCAAGUUGAACGCAGGAUAGGACUUCGGUUCUAUUGCUGAGUAGCAAACGGGUGAGUAACGCGUGGGAAUCUACCUUUUUGUGGGGGAUAACUGAGGGAAACUUCAGCUAAUACCGCAUAAGCUCUACGGAGGAAAGGCUUCGGCCGCAAGAAGAGGAGCCCGCGUCAGAUUAGGUAGUUGGUAGGGUAAAAGCCUACCAAGCCGAUGAUCUGUAGCUGGUCUGAGAGGAUGAUCAGCCACACUGGGACUGAGACACGGCCCAGACUCCUACGGGAGGCAGCAGUGGGGAAUAUUGGACAAUGGGGGAAACCCUGAUCCAGCAAUGCCGCGUGAAUGAAGAAGGCCUUAGGGUUGUAAAGUUCUUUCACCUGUGAAGAUUAUGACGGUAGCAGGAGAAGAAGCCCCGGCUAACUCUGUGCCAGCCGCCGCCGUAA
rnacentral:rRNA from 1 species